GACGGAGGAUGCAAGCGUUAUCCGGAAUGAUUGGGCGUAAAGCGUCCGCAGGUGGCAGUUCAAGUCUGCUGUCAAAGACCGGGGCUUAACUUCGGAAAGGCAGUGGAAACUGAACAGCUAGAGUAUGGUAGGGGGAGAGGGAAUUCCUGGUGUAGCGGUGAAAUGCGUAGAGAUCAGGAAGAACAUCGGUGGCGAAGGCGCUCUGCUGGACCAUAACUGACACUCAGGGACGAAAGCUAGGGGAGCGAAUGGG
rnacentral:rRNA from 1 species